rnacentral:rRNA from 1 species
UGGGGAAUUUUGCACAAUGGGGGGAACCUUGAUGCAGCGACGCCGCGUGAGGGAUGGAGGCCUUCGGGUUGUGAACCUCUUUCGCUCGUGUGCAAGCCGCUAUUUGGGUGGUGGGGAGGGUAGCGGGUAAGGAAGCGCCGGCUAACUCGUGGCCAGCAGCGGCGGUAAUACGUAGGGCGCGAGCGUUGUCCGGAUUUAUUGGGCGUAAAGGGCUUGUAGGCGGUUUGUCGCGCCUGUCGUGUAAUCCUCUGGCUUAACUGGGGGUGUGCGGUGGGUACGGGCAGGCUUGAGUGCGGUAGGGGAGAUUGGAAUUCCUGGUGUAGCGGUGGAAUGCGCAGAUAUCAGGAGGAACACCGGUGGCGAAGGCGGGUCUCUGGGCCGUUACUGACGCUGAGGAGCGAAAGCGUGGGGAGCGAACAGG